rnacentral:rRNA from 1 species
AUUGAACGCUGGCGGCAUGCUUUACACAUGCAAGUCGAACGGUAACAGGCCUUCGGGCGCUGACGAGUGGCGAACGGGUGAGUAAUGCAUCGGAACGUGCCCAGUCGUGGGGGAUAACGCAGCGAAAGCUGUGCUAAUACCGCAUACGAUCUGCGGAUGAAAGCGGGGGACCUUCGGGCCUCGCGCGAUUGGAGCGGCCGAUGUCAGAUUAGGUAGUUGGUGGGGUAAAGGCUCACCAAGCCAACGAUCUGUAGCUGGUCUGAGAGGACGACCAGCCACACUGGGACUGAGACACGGCCCAGACUCCUACGGGAGGCAGCAGUGGGGAAUUUUGGACAAUGGGCGCAAGCCUGAUCCAGCAAUGCCGCGUGCAGGAAGAAGGCCUUCGGGUUGUAAACUGCUUUUGUACGGAGCGAAAAGGCUCCCUCUAAUACAGGGGGCUCAUGACGGUACCGUAAGAAUAAGCACCGGCUAACUACGUGCCAGCAGCCGCGGUAAUAC